GAUGAACGCUGGCGGCGUGCCUAAUACAUGCCAGUCGAGCGAACAGACGAGGAGCUUGCUCCUCUGACGUUAGCGGCGGACGGGUGAGUAACACGUGGAUAACCUACCUAUAAGACUGGGAUAACUUCGGGAAACCGGAGCUAAUACCGGAUAAUAUAUUGAACCGCAUGGUUCAAUAGUGAAAGACGGUUUUGCUGUCACUUAUAGAUGGAUCCGCGCCGCAUUAGCUAGUUGGUAAGGUAACGGCUUACCAAGGCAACGAUGCGUAGCCGACCUGAGAGGGUGAUCGGCCACACUGGAACUGAGGCACGGUCCAGACUCCUACGGGAGGCAGCAGUAGGGAAUCUUCCGCAAUGGGCGAAAGCUUGACGGAGCAACGCCGCGUGAGUGAUGAAGGUCUUCGGAUCGUAAAACUCUGUUAUUAGGGAAGAACAAAUGUGUAAGUAACUAUGCACGUCUUGACGGUACCUAAUCAGAAAGCCACGGCUAACUACGUG
rnacentral:rRNA from 1 species